rnacentral:tRNA from 1 species
GGCCGGCGCAGAUCGGCUGGCUGAUCGCCUCGGGCGCGAUCGGGCAGUUGAUCGGCGCGAUCCUGUUCCCGAUGCUGGCCG